GGUCCCGUAGCUCAGCAGGAUAGAGCAACUGAUUCCUAAUCAGUAGGUCACAGGUUCGAAUCCUGUCGGGAUCACCA
rnacentral:tRNA from 1 species